rnacentral:lncRNA from 1 species
AUUCAAAACAAUAAUCUCAUCAUUGAAUCGAAUUUCGGCACUCAUUCAACAAAACUAAGAAGCCUACAAGCAAAACUAAAUUUAAAAAUCGAAGAUUUUGGAGCAGAUUCAAACGUCGAUCUGCUUGGAAGCGUCGCUGUAGAAACUCCGUUACUCGUCAAAGAUUCAACACCUUCUCUUUAGUUUUUCUACUCCGCCGCUGCAAUAACUUUAAUCGCCGGAGAUCUCUCUGAGAUUCAAUGUUCGUCCCAUAUUGAGGUGAAAAAGAAAACACAUGCAAUUUACAAGAUUAUAUAUAGUCAGCACAAGGCUUUCCUCAAAACCAAAAAAAAAAUCAUUUGUACAACUAAAACAUCAUACAAUGCAAUUAGCUUAAACCGUGCAACAAAUAAAUAAUUCCUAUGCAACAACUCAUCACACAAACUUUCAUGCAAGCAGUAAGCACCAAAAAUACAACAAGAAAUUUAUUUUCACAAAAACCUCAUAUGUGCAACUGAUGAACAUUAGUAAAUGCAAUUAGCUUCAUCUAUGCAACAACACAAUAUUUCUGUGCAAGUUAUUAUUUUCUAUGCACC